GCCGGGGUGAAACAGGCUGGUCGUUGGACAAGUGAUAUAAGGCGACGUUUGAUAGUGUUCAGUCUAUAUAAAGUGUCCGGACACACACUUUUAGCGUCGUUUCAACAGCGCCUUUCUGGCAUUUUCCUCUCAGACCGCUUCCUUUUCCUUACUGCAAGUUCCUCUGCUGGAGUAAACAAGUUAUUGCAGCUCGCGCCACGUGCCCCCAACGACGCGAACAUUCAGCUACCGUAGCUGAGAAUGCGAUCCCGCGAAAUCCGGACUCGGGUCAAGGGUCCUCACGGGUCCUCUGUUUUUACUAACUAGAGCGAAUGUGGCCGGUGGAAAGGUCAAUAGAGCUUUCUUCAAAUUAUAGUAGUGACAACGUUUCAAGGGGCAGAGGUUACAGUAGGUGUUGUUCAAAGAAAAAUAUCGACUGGUAAAUACAUGUGAGUUUUUUAAUAGUUUUUGGAAAACGACUGUGUGUUUGUUCACCGUGGUCUGUUAAGAUUAUUUAAGAUGACGGAAUAAUCUGCAUACUUUCAACUAGAUAUUGAAGGAUCCUUUGUAAAUGAAGUAUAAACGGGACGGAAAGACUAAUUUCAAGUAGCUGGGCUUGUCUCGUCGUUCCCGUGUUAUGCUUGAAUAAAUCUUCAGGAGAAAGGGAGAAGUUUGGGAGUAAGAACUAUAUAAGAACAUUUAAGGUAGGGUGUA